UACGGAGGGGGCUAGCGUUGUUCGGAAUUACUGGGCGUAAAGGGCGCGCAGGCGGCUGCUCAAGUCAGGCGUGAAAGGCCCGGGCUCAACCCGGGAAUUGCGCUUGAGACUGGGCUGGCUUGAGUGCGGGAGAGGAUGGUGGAAUUCCCAGUGUAGAGGUGAAAUUCGUAGAUAUUGGGAAGAACACCGGUGGCGAAGGCGGCCAUCUGGACCGCAACUGACGCUGAGGCGCGAAAGCGUGGGGAGCAAACAGG
rnacentral:rRNA from 1 species